UACGAAGGGGGCGAGCGUUGUUCGGAUUUACUGGGCGUAAAGGGCGCGCAGGCGGCUCAUUUUGUCAGGCCGUGAAAGCCCCGGGCUUAACCUGGGAACUGCCUUCGAUACUGGAGAGACUUGAGUCCGGGAGAGGUGAGUGGAACUGCGAGUGAGAGGUGAAAUUCGUAGAUAUUCGCAAGAACACCAGUGGCGAAGGCGGCUCACUGGCCCGGUACUGACGCUGAGG
rnacentral:rRNA from 1 species